UACGUAGGGAGCAAGCGUUUGUCCGGAAUCAUUGGGCGUAAAGCGCGCGUAGGUGGCCUCAUAAGUCCGCUGUGAAAGUCAAAGGCUCAACCUUUGAAAGCCGGUGGAUACUGUGGGGCUAGAGUACGGAAGAGGCGAGUGGAAUUCCUGGUGUAGCGGUGGAAUGCGCAGAUAUCAGGAGGAACACCAAUAGCGAAGGCAGCUCGCUGGGACGUUACUGACACUGAGGCGCGAAAGCGUGGGGAGCGAACAGGAUAGAUAC
rnacentral:rRNA from 1 species